UAAAUUUGUCAAUGACAAAAUGACAGAUUGUGAACAUUAAAAUAGGUAUCAAAGAUUACCUUAUGUAAAUUUCCGUUAGAAAUUAAAUACUUCUAGGCUUAGUUGUUCAAAGUUUAUUGUAAUAAAAUAACCAGUUAAAUUACACAAUAUUUAGUGGACAUACGAGUAUGACAGGACAGGAUGCUCACGGCGGCCAUUUGCUGUAUCCACAAUUAUAAAGGAGAAUGAAUGAAAACCUAAUACAUUAUUUUUGUCUGACUACUUCGCGAAUAUGGAGCAGAUGAAGCAACCAGUGUUUGUGCCGCAGGGCCCGCCCGAAUUCCGGAUCCGCGGCCCGCUGUACGGCCAGGACGGGUGCCUCGGCCGGCACUUCCGGCACAUCCUGCUGGCCUCCGCCGCCAUCAUCCUCGUUCUCUUGACCUGCUUGACCUGCUAUUACAUAUUUAUGAUGGUGUCAGUAUGAAAUGUCCGAUUGUUUUGUAAUUGUAAAAAUCAUCUGAAAGCUAAGUAAAUUUAUAUAUUUUUGAUGAUGUCGUUGUAAAAAUUACGUGAUCGUCAACUUUGGUCGACUU